CGGGCAGGCAGCACUGGGAGAGCUCGGCGACUUGGCUGGAGGCCGAAGGUGCCGCCCCUCGGGGAACAGAGCGUCUUUGCAAGGCGGGCUAUCGCCCUGUCGCACAGGUUGGAGUGCAAUGGUGCGAUCUCAGCUCACUGUAACCUCCGCCUCCCGGGUUCGAGAGAUUCUCCUGCCUCAGCCUCCUGAGUAGCUGGGAUUACAGGCAUUGUGAAGACCCUGUUUCUCUAGCUGUGCAGCUGCAAGGUCACUAGACAGAUCAGCUCAAGUCGUAAAACAUGUUUUUCCUUGAAAAGUAAGAAAUGAUGUAAUGCAUGCCUCAGUUGAAGAACUGUUUUUGUUUCUCGCUUCUGUAAUAUGCUUCCCUCUGCACAGAUCUCCCCCUGCCCCACUAAAUGCUUAAAAGGUAACCUGACCCUUUGUUUGGGGCUCAGUCUUUUUUGGAUGUUAAUCUGACUGGGCCGGUUCACCUAAAUAAUAAUAAUAAUAAUAAUAA